AGUUCAUUGUCCAAAGGGAAGUGGAAUGUGCGUCACUGUUCGCGUCAAUCGCUAGAAAACAUUGAAUGAUCGUUGGUAGAGUUCGAUCGUGAUCCUCGAAACUAUGCAAUUGCGAUGGGAAAUAGUAUCAAGGACGCGCAUAUAAUACUGUAACAAUGGAAUGUAUACAUAUGUAUAUGCGAGGAACGUCAUUUCCGGAGAGCGAACAAAAUCUCGACAUCAUUUUCCAAACGAUCAAACUUCCGCACAAAAAUUGUUUAAUUAGGUUUCCUUUCUUCAAAUGAAAACGUUGAUUUCUUUUAUCACAUAUCUUAUGUCAGCGAAAAUUAAAAUAAAAUGCUUGCUAAAGCGUCA